rnacentral:rRNA from 1 species
UGCCAGACUCCUACGGGAGGCAGCAGUGGGGAAUAUUGCACAAUGGGGGAAACCCUGAUGCAGCGACGCCGCGUGAGUGAGGAAGUAUUUCGGUAUGUAAAGCUCUAUCAGCAGGGAAGAAAAUGACGGUACCUGACCAAGAAGCCCCGGCUAACUACGUGCCAGCAGCCGCGGUAAUACGUAGGGGGCAAGCGUUAUCCGGAUUUACUGGGUGUAAGGGGAGCGUAGGCGGCUGUGUAAGCCAGAAGUGAAAGCCCGGGGCUCAACUCCGGGACUGCUUUUGGAACUACAUGGCUUGAUUGCAGGAGAGGCAAGUGGAAUUCCUAGUGUAGCGGUGAAAUGCGUAGAUAUUAGGAGGAACACCAGUGGCGAAGGCGGCUUGCUGGACUGUAAAUGACGCUGAGGCUCGAAAGCGUGGGGAGCAAACAGGAUUAGAUACCCUGGUA